rnacentral:rRNA from 1 species
AUACGGAGGGUGCGAGCGUUAAUCGGAAUUACUGGGCGUAAAGCGUGCGUAGGCGGUUUGCUAAGUCAGAUGUGAAAGCCCCGGGCUUAACCUGGGAACUGCAUUUGAUACUGGCAGACUAGAGUAUGAUAGAGGGGGGUAGAAUUCCUGGUGUAGCGGUGAAAUGCGUAGAUAUCAGGAGGAAUACCAGUGGCGAAGGCGGCCCCCUGGAUCAAUACUGACGCUGAGGUACGAAAGCGUGGGGAGCGAACAGCAUUAGAAACCCCUGUAGUCC